CCUUCGAUAGCUCAGUUGGUAGAGCGGUGGACUGUAGACGGUGUGAUUGUUGUCCAUAGGUCGCUGGUUCAAAUCCGGCUCGAAGGA
rnacentral:tRNA from 1 species